rnacentral:tRNA from 1 species
AAAGUAGUGAAGUAAAAAAAUUUUACAAUUAGUUUCGACCUAAUAUAAGAGGAAUCCUCCUUACUUUUUAA